rnacentral:misc_RNA from 1 species
GAUGAAGAACGUAGCGAAAUGCGAUACUUGGUGUGAAUUGCAGAAUCCCGUGAACCAUCGAGUCUUUGAACGGAAGUUGCGCCCGAAGCCUCGGCUAAGGGCACGUCUGCCUGGGCGUCACGCAUCGCGUCUCCCCCAAACCGCCAAGGCGGAUGGGAAGGAAGAUGGCUUCCCGUGCCUCACCCGGCGCGGUUGGCCUAAAUUUGGAGCCCGCGGCACUUAGCUCACGCGGCGAUAGGUGGUGAACAAGGCCUUGGCCGUGCAAACAACCCGCUGCGAAGCUCUAUGUCACGUGCGCUCGUCGGACCCUUUGAAGUUGCCUUCGGUGACUUAAAACCUUUGCGACCCCAGGUCAGGCGGGGCUACCCGCUGAAUUUAAGCAUAUCAAUAAGCGGAGGA